ensembl:lncRNA
AAACCCCCUGCUUGCCUAUAUAAAUCAAGAGCUUGCAGCAAUAAAGCGGAAGUACUUAGAUGGAACCCGUGUAGUGUCUCAUUGUCUCUGGCUCGCAGAGGCGCUGGCUUGGUGGACAGCAGGCUCACCUCUCCUCGGGACCCCUCGGCUUUGCUGAGCGAAGUUCCACUGCUUCUCUCUUUCUGCAGGGCGCCCCCCGCAUGUUGCAAGGAGAAACAAUGGUGAUCAUUAAUCUUAAACCCAUACAUCUGGCCCAUGGUCAAAAGGACAGAGGGUAUGAAAACGAGUGUUACUACCAUGAGCAUUUGUAUGUUCACGAAUUCCAUUCUUUGGCUGGGUGGACAAGAACUCGGAUUCCUGUCUCAUCUUUUGGGGGCUCGUCUGGAAAUCCUGAAUGCCUGUUCAAGGUGGAAAGGAAGGUAGAGACAGGAAGAGGACAACAGUCCAGGGUAGCUGGAUAAUGGUGCUCAAGACCAGAUGGGAGCCAUGUCUUCGUGACUACACCCAGCUCAGAGUGGAUGCCUUUGGCAAGUAUACUGAAGAACUAGAAGUCUGACCCUUAGACCUUGUUAAAGAAGGGUAUGAUCUUUCUCUGCACCAAGGCAGAGCCCCAAUAGGAUCUAUCUGAUGGUGAAAAAUGGCCCCCUGAG